CCCCUUCCAGGGUCGCAUCUGGAGAGUUUCCAGUCCUCUACCAGUCUCGAUUUUGGGAGGGAGAGUCAAGUAGAGGCUCAGUCAAUCCAUUCCUAGCUUGGGCAGUGGCUAGCGAGUGGAAGGCAAUCUGCUACAAGU
rfam:Ornithorhynchus anatinus chromosome 1, whole genome shotgun sequence.